UUUGAUUAUUCCUGUUUCGCAAAUUUAUUGUUUGGCCAUGCUAUUUUUUAUUUAUUUAUUUUUUUUGCCGUUUUCGAAAUUGAAUUUCGUAUGCGGAUUCAGAAACGAAAUUUGGGACUAGAUUAGGGUAGGUCGAUGAUAAUUUAAUGCUUGCCAUUUUUAAAAUUUUUUUGGUGAAUACUAUUCAUGGAGUAGGUUUGCUUUGGAAAGUUUAUAGUCAUGUGGUUGAAUAUGAUUAUUUCACAGUUCAUGACUAUGUUUAUUGUACAUUGAAGUUAUGCAUUUUUCUUUAAUAAUUUUGUUGGCUCAACCUGAUUGAGUAAUUGAAACACUCAGAGCUUCAAUUUUUGGCUGACACCAUAGCUCUUGCUGUUGCACACAAUAUGGAAUGGUUUAGUUAGGGUUUGGGCACAAUGUGAACACAAGGUUUCAGGUUUUAUCCAGGCAUCCCUUUAUGAUCUUAAUCAUAAGAUUGCAGAACUUUGAUUGAAGGUUGCAGAACUUUGGGUAAAUUGUGUACAUUGAUAUCUUAAUUGAAGUUUGAUUGCUACUGUGUCAGUAUGGGUCUCAGUGGCCUCAUGUUCUUCACUUCUCACUUUCAUUAGUAUGGUUAUCUAGGUGGUUUGAAUGAAUUUAGCAUAUUUUAUGUUAACACUUUGAUUACUCUCGACAUAUGAUUCAUUCUAAGUAACAUCGGUUUUAUUCUGGGUUUCUUCCAUAGUUUCUUUUCAAACCACCAUCCUCGUUACGGUCUGACUGAUCCUUGCUAUUCUUACUCUAUGAUCAAGUGUUUUUGUUUUGGUUGCAGCCAUGGCUGGACUGUUGAUAAUGAAGUUAAGAUGAGCAAUUUAAUUUGUUGGGAAAUUCUGAACCACAAAAAAUUUCUAUGCACUUCAACCUUAUAAGUUAUCUAAGCCUCACAGUUUGCUGAACCAUAUUCAGAAUUUGGACACAGGAUUAAAUGUAUCACCUGCUAAUUAUUUUUAAACCAGUAAUUCAUUAUGUUCAUGUUCUUAGCAAGCAAAAAUUGAUCAGGAUAUUUAUGAACCUUAAGAUAUCAGUUUGAGGUUAUAAUAUUUCAGUGCAAAAAGUUAGACACAUUUUACUUCUUUCCCUUUGGAGAAGUGUCUGGAAAGGUUAGUGGAUUAGUUAUGUAUUGAAUAUUUGGCUAAAUGAAAUUAUCUGGAAGCCUGAGCAAAAUCAAAACCUUUUUCCCAAGAGCAGCAGAACUUAUAGGUAUGCAGCUCACCUGAAAUCAAUUCCUUACAUAAAGGGCAUACACCUAUGAGUCUUUGUUAAGCCAUAGCAACUUUGAUAAUUGAAUUUCCUAUUAAAAUGGAUGUUUGUGGCAGGUAAUUAACAUAUAUAUAUAUAUAUAUAUACGUAUUCCUGUUUUAAAGUACUGCCAAAAUGUGGCUAGUAGGAUUGCAUUUUCUGAUUGCAACUAUGUUUUAGCAUGGCUUCCUUAUUGCAAGUGGCUUUACCUUUAUUUUCUUUGCAUUUCAUUGUAUGAAUCUUCUCAGAAUGAAUUUAUGGGUUCAGUACUAUCUAAGAUUGAGAUCUCAACUGAGUCAGGGUGACAUAUGCCUGACUUUAGGUGUUUAAAAUAAGAGAACUAAAAACUAUAUGAAUUAGGUUAUUCCUAGGAAAACUAAUACAAAUUUAACAUUAAAAUUGUUGACUGAAGUGGAGCAUUCCGAGAAUCGAACUCGGGACCUCUCACACCCAAAGCGAGAAUCAUACCACUAGACCAAAUUCCCAUUACUUACCUACAUUUUUAAAUCAUGAUACUGAUGAAACUUAAGAUGUUGCCAAUUUUAGAUUAUAAUUCUGGUAUUUAGAAGUUUGUUGCCCUUUCAAUUCUUAUCCACUGAUGAAGUGUCUGAACAGGUUAAUAAUUUGGUUGUGUAUUUAUUUGAUGUUAGAAUAGAUUGUCAGAUUUAAAAAUGCGCCAGGGGAAGAAGACUGAAAUCCUUGACUUGGAAUGAUGCAUCUUUGUGAUUCAGCAAACUUGGCAUGCUUAUUGGGUAAAAAAGGGCUCUUCAUUUUUCUUGUAGCAACGAGAUAACAUGGCAUGGCCACCACAAUACAAGUCUUUAUAGCUUGUUUUGCACUUUAUUAUUGAAAGCUUGUCAAAAUUUUAUUUUAUAUGGACUUACUACCGUAAAAAUACUGCAGGUCUGCCCCGCUUAAAGCAUUAAAAAAUAAGAUAACUAAAAAGCUUAAGGAUUACACGAUUCCUAUAAAUAAUAAUAAUAAUAAAGUAAAAUUAUUUUAAGUGGAGCAUUCCAAGAAUUGAACUUGGGAUCUCUCGCACCCUAAGUGGGAAUCAUACCACUAGACCAAUGCCCGCCUCUGGCUUUAGCGAUGUUGUACUGAAAGUAAUAUGUUCAAGGGUUUAUUUCUUUUCCCCACCUUUUUUUUUUUGGCCCUCCCUUGUGCGGUCACUCUGGUUGCUUUAAUGAUCAACUUUUCCUUCUCUACUUUCUUCAUUGAGGCUUAUAAGGCAGCCUUGGUGUUAUAUCAAAACACUUGUAAAAAAAUUGGUCAAUGAGUGAUCUAUCUGAAAUUAUGUCUUUUAUUUUACUGCUGGGUGGUGACUACCAUGAUGUUGUCAACAUUAUGGAAAAUUACAAUACAGUGAAUGCAUUGAGCUGCUUUUAUAAGGUGUCAAAUAUUGGUUUUAUGUUAUGUUUUCUAUAUCAACGUCUGUUCACAUGUUUCCAAAUUUGGACAGGCUUCAAUGGACAGGUAACAUUUGAGUAAGAUCAUCUAAUGUUUAGUGCUGGUUGCUUUUUAAUUAUUCUUUCCCAUUGUCAAUCUUUUUCACAUGCAACUACUUUUAUAUGCUCAUUUUGUAUGGUGUUGUAAUAUUUGGUCUAAUGUUUGGCAUAGUAGAUGGAAAUAAGAAAGAUCAGUACUGCACCCAGCACAGCUCAACUUAAAUUUCGGUGAUUUCAGCUGCCUAAAUUAUCUCCCUUUAAAAAAAAAAAAAUUGUUAAGAAAAGAUGGUCAAUGUGAUUUUUCUUUUUAAAAUGUAUUUGUACCUUCAUUAUCCACUGCAUAUGUGUUUUCAAAUUUGCUAUCAAAAUCGAGACUUAGGCAAAUGCGAUAAAAAAAAGAAAAGAAAAAGAAGUUCUUGUUGAAUGUUUAUUGCAAUAUUGGCAGAAUUUCAUUUUUCUGGCAUUAAUGGGUUUACAGCUAUAUUCUAGCAUGGGCACAUUACUAUUGGGGUCUCUAGAUUGUGUUCAUUUACUGCUAAUUUAUGUGGUUGUCUGGACUAAAAGUUUAUGAAUGCUUUACUCUCUAAUAUUGCAGGUCUAAGCUAACUCAGGACCCGGCCACUUGCUUAAAGCCUAUAAAAUAUCGGAACUGAACCAUACUGGUGAGUAGAUUCCGGGAAAUAAAAUUUAAAAUAAGCGUGAAACUUUUAUACUAGUAUGAAAUAACAACAAAACUAUACCAGGUCUAGACACCAAACCAAACAUAAAUAAAGUUAACAUAAAAUUAGCUAAUAAAGCGGGGGCAAUCUGAGAAUCAAAAUCGGGACCUCUUGCUCUCAAAGCGAGAAUCAUACAACUAGACCAAGUGCCCACUUAUGAGUUAUGUUUUCAAAUCGUGACUCAUGAACCUUAAAUAUCAAUUUUAAAUAAUGAUUUCUCAGUUUUCUAAAGUCCAUAACCUUUUUACUUCUUAUCCACUGAUGAAGUUUCUGGACAAGUUAAUGCUUCAGUUAUUGUAUUCAUGUGAUGCUAAAAUAGAUGUCCAGAUUUCAAUAUUAGCCAGGGGAGAAGGAUCAAAAUCCUUUGACUUGGAAUGCUGCAAUUUAAGUUAUGUGAUUCUGCCACUGACCAGAAACAGCUCCUUAGGUAUGAAAAGUGACACCUACAUUCUUCAUAAAAUCUUGUUAUGUUUACCUUUGUUACGCCAUAACAGAUUCAGUGAUUGAAUUUAGUUUUGACAUGGAUGUUUACAACAUGUGCACAAACACAAUAUUCCUGGCUGAGAGUUUCAUGAAUGUGACUGACAGGGUGUUUCAUUUCUGGUAGCAAUGAGAUAACAAGUAUGCCUUUGGCAUGACCAAAUCAAUAUAAGUGUCAAUAGCUUGUUUUGGCCUUUGGUUAUUGAAAUCAUGUCGGAAGUAAUUUUAUAUGGGUUCAGUAUUAUUUAAUAUUUCACGUCCUUAACUGGUACAAGGCCAUGUCCCCUGCAUAGAACGCAUUAUAAAAUAAGAAAACUGAAAACUAUAAGUAUAAGGCAGAGUAGAUUUUUCCAAAAAUUAAUUAAAGAUAACAUAAAAGUUUCCGAGAAGUGGGGCAUUCUGAGAAUCGAACUCAGGACCUCUCGCACCCAAAGCGAGAAUCAUACCACUAGACCAAAUGCCCAUUGCUGACUUACAUUUUUAAAUCAUGAUAUGAUGAACUUUAAGAUAUUGUCUUUAGAUUAUAUUUUCCCAGUAUUUAGAAGUUCGUUACCAUUUCACUUCUCUCUCACUAAUGAGUGUCUGGACAGGUUAAUUAUUUGGUUUUUGUAUUAAUUAGAUGCUAGAAUAGAUCGUCAGAUUUAAACAUGAACAGGGGAGGAAGACCAAAAUCCUUUGACUUGGAAUCAUGCAACUUAAAGCUCUGUGUUGCUGCAAACUUAAUUUGCUUCAUGGGUGAAAGAAGAUCAACCUCUAUUCCUAUGUUUCAAAACUUGGACAGGCAUCAAUGAAAAGGCCAUAAGAGAUUCAGUAAUUGAAUUUGGUGUUGAGAUGGAUGUUUACAACAUGUGCACAAAACCAAUGUUCCUGGUUGAAAGCAUCAUGAGUGUGACUGGCAGGGUUUCAUUUCUGAUAGCAAUGAGAUAACAAGUAUGCCUUUGGCAUGGCCACAUCAAUGUAAGUGUCAAUAGAUUGUUUUUCCCUAUGUUAUUGAACUCAUAUCAGAAUAAUUUUAUAAGAAUAUUUAGUAUUUUACGUCCUUAACUGAUAUAGGGCUGGGCCAACAUGUGCAGAAUGCAUUAUAAAAUAAGAAAACUGAAAACUAUAAGGAAGGGUAGAUUGUUACCAAAAAUUAAAUCAAAGUUAAUAUAAACCUUCCUGAGAAGUGGGGCAUUCCGAGAAUCGAACUCGGGACCUCUCGCACCCAAAGCGAGAAUCAUACCACUAGACCAAAUGCCCAUUGCUGGCUUUGCUGAUGUUUAAAUUACAAUUAGUAUGUUCAAAGAGGAAUUAAUUAAUUUCUUUUGCUUGUCUGGUCUCUCCUGUUUCUUUUAUGAACAUCUAUAUUUUUUCUUCUUUAUUCCUAGAGACUUUUUAUGCAGAUUUGGCCUUGAUGUUGACUAAAUUAGAGUGAUUAUCCAAAUGUACUAUGUCUUACUGCUUGUUUCUGGUAACCAUAUUCUGAUUCCAUCAAUAUUAGGUAAAAUUACAAUUCUAUUGACAAGAUGUUAAAAUGUUAUUUUCAAUGCAAGUGAAAUUUUUAAAAUUUACUGAAAAUAAAAGAUAAAAAGAUUGAUAACAUGUUACAUUAUGCUUUAUAGAUCAGCUCCGAAUAUAAAUCUUCUGAAGUAAUCUGUUGCUCUAUUCACAUAUUUUAAAUUUUUACAGGCAUUGUAGAAAAAAAUAAUUUUUAAGUAAUUAUCACUUGGAGUUCAGAGCUGGUUGCUUUUUAGCCUUGUUAUCCAUUGAUAAAUCAUCUUGACAGAUAACUAGUUUCUCUGUUGUAUUUAUUUGGUCUGCUGUUUUGAUAAUUAGAAUGAUAUUUGGCAUAUUAGGCAGGAAUGAAAGAUCAGAAUCCUUAAAGAAUGGUCAUUUUUGUGUGGCUUAAAUUAGUCUCCAUUUUUUUUUUUUUUUGGGGGAAUUGGCUUAAACCGGCCUCCUAUUUAUGAAAAGAUGGUCACUUCUGGUUUCCUUGUUAAUUGUAUUUGAAUUUUAUCCUUAUUUGAUCAUUGCAUAUGUGGUUUUGAAUUUGUUAUCAAAAUGGAUACUUAAAUCAUGCUAAUCAGAAAAUAAAUAAAAUAUAUAUAUAUAUAUAUAUAUUCUCAUGUUGUUUAUGCUCAAGUAUUGGCAGGCUUGAAUUUUUCUGGCAUUAAUGCAGUUACAGCUAAGUAUUUACAUCUCUAGAUUGUUUUUAUUUGUCUAUCAUUCAUGAGGUUGUCAGAAUUAAACUAUUGUGAAUGCAUAAUUACCAUCAAAUAAUGCAUGUUUUCAGCUGACGUGUUACUAGCCUACCUACGUAAAGAAUUCAAAUAUCAUAAAUAACUGUACUGGUCCAGAUUCCUGGUCAUAAGAAGCUAACAAUACAUCAAACUUGUUAGGGCUGUAUUAAAUAACUGAACCAAAACUGUAUUUUAUUAGAAUAUUACCAUCCAAAAAUAAAUUAUAUAUAGAAAUAACAUUUGAUUAGCUAAGAAAAAAGGGGCAUUCCGAGAAUCGAACUCGGGACCUCUCGCACCCAAAGCGAGAAUCAUACCACUAGACCAAAUGCCCACUUGUUUUGUAGUGUUUACUUCUUCCGUUUUUGUCUUGAAGUUCCCUCCCCUUUCCCUCACCCCAUCUACAUGUCUUGUUUCAAGAAAUUCAACAUGUGCUGCAAUUGCUGCCUAUGUUAGAGGAUUAAUUAUAAAAGUUGUGACUAAGGACCGAAUAUAAGAGAUAUGGUCAAAAUGAUUCAGUUGUCCAAAAGUGGGGCAUUCCGAGAUUGAACUUGUGACAUACCACUAGACCAAAUGCCCACCACUGGCUUUAAUAAUGUUUGUACUAAAAGUAAUAUGCUCAACAAGGGUUUCGUUCUUUUCUUGGUCAGGCACUCCUGUUGCAUUAAUGAUCAACCUUAUAAUGCAGCCUUGGUGUUGUAUCAAAACACUCUUAAAAAUGCAUUACGGGUUGAUUUUCUGAAAUUAUGUAUUUUAUCAUACUGCUGGGUAUCAUGGUGUCAUCAAGAUGAUGGAAAAUUACAAUACAGUCAGUACAUUGGGCUGCUUUUAUAAGGCGUAAGAUGCUGUUUCAAAACAAAAAUUUUAACCUAGAUACAAAAGGACAAUCAUAUGUUGUCUAGAUCAACCUCAGUUCUCAUGUUUCAAAGGUUGGACAGGCAUCGAUGACAAGGUAACGUUUGAGUAAUCAUCAUCUACCAUUGAGAGCUGGUUGCCUUUUAGUAUUUCUUUCCCAUUGUUGAAUUAUUUUUACAUGCAACUACUUUUGAUUGCUCAUUUAGUUGGGUGUUGUAAUGCAUGAUCUGAUAUUUGGCAUAAAAAGAUAGAAAUGAGAAAGAUCAGUAUUGCACACAAUGCAGCUCAACUUAAAAGUUUGGCGAUUCAGUUGCUUAAAUGACUCCUAUUAAAAAAAAAAAAAUGAAAAAGAAAAAGAAAAAGGAAAAGAAAGAAAAAAAGAUGGCCAGUUUGGAUUUUCUUUCUAUAAGUAUUUAUACCUUUGUUUCCAUUGCAUAUGUGUUUUCAAAUUUGCUAUCAAGGUGAAUGAUUAGACAAGUUGGGUAAAAAGAAUGUUCUUGGUCCAAUGUUUUGCCAAAAAGUGGCAGAAUUUCAUUUUCUUGCGUUAAUCGGUUUAAGCUAUGUUCUAGCAUGCCCACGGUACUUUUACAGUCUCUAGAUUGUGUUGAUUUCGUGACAUUGUCAGAAAUAAAAAUUUAUCAAUACUUCGUUGUUUAAUAUUGCAGGUCCCAAGUCAAUUGUCUAAUAUUGCAGGUCCUAAGCUGACUCAGGACCAGACUUAUAAAUUAUCAAUCAGAACACUGUUCUGGUGAGUAGAUUCCUGGCAAUAAAAUUUAAAACAAUCAUGAAAUUUAUUAAAUUACUAUUAAAUGGCUGUCAAAACUGUAUUGAUUAGCAUACAAUAAACCGAAUAAUAUAAAUAAAAUUAACAUAAAUUUAGCUUAUAAAUGGCAACCAAAACUGUACCAGUUAGCAUAAAAUAAACUGAAUAGUAGAAACAAAAUUAACUAGCUUUAUAAAGUAGGGCUAUCCAAGAAUAAACUCGGAACCUCUCUCAUCAAAAGCAAGAAUCAUACCACUAGAUCAAAUACCAAUAUUUAAUUUCUUAUUUUCAGUCUUGUUAUCCAUUGAUAGGUCAUCUUGACAGGUAAAUCAUUUAAUGAGAGAUUGGAAUCCUUCAACUUUGGUGAUUUACUUAUAAAUGUAUUUGAAUGUUAUUUUUGUUUGACCAUUGUAUAUGUCCUUUGUGGUUUUGAAUUUGUUAUUGAAAUGGAUACUUACAGCAUGCACGUAAAAAAUAAUAAUAAUAAUUGUUAUUAUUAUCUUCCCAUGUUGUUUAUGCUAAAGAAUUGGCAGGCUUGCAGUUUUCUGGCAUUAAUGCAGUUACAGCUAAGUAUUGCAUCUCUGGAUUUUUAUUUUUUUAUUUUUUUAUUUAUUAAUCAUUCAUCAGGUUGUCAGAAAUAAACUAUUGUGAAAACUUAUUACCAAAAAUCUUAAUAAUAAUAAUAAUAAUAAUAAUAAUAAUAAUAAUAAUAAUAAUAAUAAUAUUGUGAAUACAUUAUUACAAUAUAAAAUUGUAGGUCCUUCAGCUGAUUUGGUGCUGGCCAAGGAUUUAAAAUUUUAUAAAUAACUGUACUGGUUAGAGAUUCCUAUGUACAAGAAGCUAAUAAUAUAUCAAACUUGUCAGAUUGUAUUCAAGAGCAGAAACAAAACUGUAGUCAUUAGCAUAUUACUAGCCAAAAAGUGAUAAUAAAUAGAAAUAACAUAGAUUAGCUAAGAGAGCAGGGGCAUUCCGAGAAUUGAACUCAGAACCAUUCACACCCAAAGCGAGAAUCAUACCACUAGAUCAAAUGCCCACUUGUCUUGUAGUGGGCCAUCAUCAAAAUAUUAGAGCCAUCAUCAAAACAAUUUAGUUUUCCAAAAGUGGGGCAUUCCGAGAAUUGAACUCGGGACCUCUCGCCCCCUAAGCGAGAAUCAUACCACUAGACCAAAUGCCCGCUGCUAGCUUUAAUGAUGCUUGCACUAAAAGUAAUAUGUUCAACAAGGGUUUAAUUGUUUUCUUGUUCAGUCACUCCUGUUGCAUAAAUGAUCAACCUUUCUUUCUCCACUUUCUUCAUUGAGGCUUAUAGUGCAGCCUUGGUGUGGUACCAAAAUACUUGUAAAAAAAGGCCUUAAGGAUUGAUUUGUCUGAAAUUAUGUAUUUUAUCAUAUUGCUUAAUGUUUGUGACCAUUGUGAUGUCAUGAAGAUGAUGGAAAAUUACCACAGAGUCAGUGCGUUGAGCUGCUUUUAUAAGGUGUCAAAUAUUAGUUUCCAUGCAAGCAAUCUUUUCAAAUUUACAAAAAUUUUAACAGAUACAAAAUUACAAACUCUUGUGUUAUGUUUUCUAGAUCAACCUCUAUUCACAUGUUCCAAAGGUUGGACAGGCAUCAAUGAAAAGGCAACAUUUGAGUAAUCAUCAACUACUGUUGAGAGCUGGUUGCCUUUAGUACUUCUUUCCCAUUGUUGAAUUAUUUUGGCAUGCAGCUACUUUUGUUUGCUCAUUUAGUCGGGUGUUGCAAUACAUGGUUUGAUAUUUGGCAUAGUAGAUAGAAAUAAGAAAGGUCAGUAUUUCACACUGUGCAGCUCAACUUAAAUUUUGGUGAUUUUUGAUGCUUGAAUGACUCCUAUUAUUAAAAAAAAAAAAAAAAAAAAAAAAAGAUUGUCAAUUUGGAUUUUCUUUUUGAAAAAGAUGUUAUUGUCCAAUAUUUUGCCGAAUGUUGGUAGAAUUUCAUUUUUCUUGCAUUAAAGAGGUCAGCUAUGUACUAGCAUGCCCACAGUAAUAUUAGGGUAUCUAGAUUGUGUUGAUCUGCCGUUAUUUUGUGAGAUUGUCAGAAAUAAAUAUUUAUACUUCACUGUUUAAUAUUGCAUGUCCUUAGCAGACUCAGUACCAGGCCUUUAAAAUAUCAGAACUGUUCUGGUAAGUAGAUUCCUGGCAAUGAAAUUUAAAAUAAGCAUGAAACUUAUUAAAUGAGUAUUAAAUGGCAACCAAAACUGUACUGGUUAGCAUACAGUAUAGCGAAUAAUAUAAAUAAAAUUAGCUUAUAAAGUAGGGGUAUUCCAAGAAACAGACUUGGGACCUUUCGCACCGAAAGCAGGAAUCAUACCACUAGACCAUCGUGUUACCCCUUGAUAAAUCAUCUUGAAAGGUAACUCAUUUAAUGAGAGAUCAGAAUCCUUCAAGUUUGGUGAAUUUCUUAAUAAGUAUCUGAAUUUUAUCUUUAUUUGACCAUUGAAUAUGUUGUAUGUGGUUUUGCAUUUGUUAUCAUAAUUGAUACUUAUACCAUGCUAGUCAAAUAUAUAUAUAUAUAUAUAUAUCAUUCUUGUUGUUUAUGCAAAAGAUUUGGCAGGCUUUCAGUUUUCUUGCAUUGAAGUAUUUGCAUCUCUAGAUUGUUUUUAGUUUGUAAUGUUUGUUAAAAGAACUUGGCAGGCUUGCGUUUUUCUUGAAUUAUUAAUAUGAUUAUAGCUUAAUAUUAGCCUUUCUAGAUGGUGUUUAUUUCCAAUAAACAUUGAUGAGGUUGUCAGAAAUAAACUAAAAUAAGAAUACAUUACUACCUUUUAAUAUUGCAGGUCUUCAGCUGACUUUGGACCACCCCACCUACUUUAUAGCAUAUAAAAUGUGGUAUGGUAAAUAGCUAUACUGAUUUGAGAUUCCUGGCAACUAGAAGUUAAUAAUACAUGGAAUUUAGAGUGAGAUUCCUAGCAACAAGAAGUUAGUAAAACAUGGAAUUUAGAGGAGUAUUAAUAACUGAAACAACAGUGUAUUCAUUAGAGUAUUGACAUCCAAAAAUAAAUUAUAUAUAGAAAUAACAUUUUACAAGCCAAGGAAACAGGGGCAUUCCGAGAAUCGAACUCGGGACCUCUCGCACCCAAAGCGAGAAUCAUACCACUAGACCAAAUGCCCGUUUGUGUUCUUAUUUUUAGAUCCAAUUCCUUCUAUUCAUUUUCUCUGUGUUUUUUCCCGUCCUGUUUUAAAAAAUCUAACAUGUAAUGCAUUUGUUACCUGUGUUAGAGACUUAAGCAUAAAAGUUGUCACAAUGGAUCUAAUGUGAGAGCUAUUUGCUGAAAACAGUCAGUUGUUGCCUGUGGUGAUUGGUUAAGUACCUUGAUCUAACAUUUGUAUGAAAGCAAAAACAAUCAGACAAGUAAAAAACCCGUUGCUUUGUUCACAUAUUUUAAGUUUUCUUAUGCUUUGAUUAAUGAUCUUGAUAGGUAACGAGCUUUUUUUGUUCAAUUGUUGUCUUGUUAUACUGAACCGGCAUUUAGCAUAUUAGGCAGGAAUGAGAGAUCAGAACAGUUGAGGUUUUGGUGAUUUUUCCAGGGGCCUGAAUCGGUCUCCUAUUUAUGAAAAAAUUGUCAAUUUGGGUUCUCUUAUUAAAGCGUAUUAAUAUCUUUGUUUGACAAUUGCAUGUGAGGUUAUUGGAAUUCACUAUCAUAAUCGAUAAUUAUGGCAUGCAAAUAAAAUCAAAUAUGGUCAGUGACCUUAAGCAGUCUCCUAUUUAUCAGAAGAUGGUCAAUUAGGGUUUUGUGAAGUAGGGUUUUGUGAGUGCCUCUAUUUGACCAUUGCAUAUGCGGUUAUUGAAUUUGCUAGCGAAAUGAAUAUUUUUACGGCAUGCAAGUCAAAAGAAUUAUUCCUAUCUCUUAUUGUUUGUGCCAAAUCAAUUGUUUGGCUUGCAUAUUUCUGGCUUUAAUGAGGAUACAGCUAUGUUCUAGGGUGGCACGUUAGCUAAUGCUAUUCAUUUAUGAAUUGUCAGAUAUAAACUAUUAGGAAGUACCAUCUAACAUUGCAGGUCUUCAGCUGACUCGGGACCAGGUCAAUUGCUCAAAACAAUAUAAAAUUAUCAGAAAGUCACUAUACUGGUUAGUGAUUCUUUAUUUAUUUAUUUAGUUUUUUGCGUACGAUAAUGGUUAGUGAUUCCUGUAAACAAGAUUAAAAAAUGCAUAUGAAAUUGAUUGGAGCUGUAUUAAAUAACAAUGUAUUCCUAAGAGGCUAGGCCAAAAAUUUAAUUUGUCUUUAAAAAAACAAAAGAAAAAUGGGGUUUGGCCAGAAAGCAGGGGCAUUCCGAGAAACGAGAAUCAUAGCACUAGACCAAAUGCCCGGGGGCAGUUAAGUGUCUAUUUUCA